rnacentral:ncRNA from 1 species
CGCAGAUUCAGACAUUUGUCUCAUGUGCUUGGCUGAUAAGCCAAUGGUGCGAAGCUACCAUCUGAGGGAUUAUGACUGAACGCCUCUAAGUCAGAAUCCCGCCUGGAAAGCGACGAUGCAUUCGUGCCUCGGCCUCGAGAGGCGUAGCUAGACGGCCGCGUGGCCGUGGAAAGAGCCCGAUUCCGACCCGAGAGGCCGCGGCAAGAGGCGGCCUCGAAGUCGGUGGAUCCUCCUGCUCGAAAGGCGGGGUGCUAAACCAUUCGCAGACGACCUAGUUGAAGAUCGGGGUGUCGUGAUCACUAGAGCAGUACAUCUCACUGCGAUUUGUUGAGAGUAAGCCUCAAGAUCUGUCGGUUUGU